GAUGAACGCUGGCGGCGUGCUUAACUCAUGCAAGUCGAACGGUGAAGGCGGAGCUUGCUCUGCUGGAUCAGUGGCGAACGGGUGAGUAACACGUGAGCAAUCUGCCCCUGACUCUGGGAUAAGCGCUGGAAACGGCGUCUAAUACUGGAUACGAGCUGCGAAGGCAUCUUCAGCAGCUGGAAAGAACUUCGGUCAGGGAUGAGCUCGCGGCCUAUCAGCUUGUUGGUGAGGUAACGGCUCACCAAGGCGUCGACGGGUAGCCGGCCUGAGAGGGUGACCGGCCACACUGGGACUGAGACACGGCCCAGACUCCUACGGGAGGCAGCAGUGGGGAAUAUUGCACAAUGGGCGAAAGCCUGAUGCAGCAACGCCGCGUGAGGGACGACGGCCUUCGGGUUGUAAACCUCUUUUAGCAGGGAAGAAGCGAAAGUGACGGUACCUGCAGAAAAAGCGCCGGCUAACUACGUG
rnacentral:rRNA from 1 species